UUCACCAAUAGACUUGGCGCCUCCGCACGU
rnacentral:sRNA from 1 species